GUUGGCUACGGCGACAUGCACCCAAUUAGCAUAGGUGGGAAGAUUGUUGGUUCUCUCUGCGCCAUCGCUGGCGUGCUGACCAUCGCCCUGCCCGUCCCCGUCAUCGUGUCCAAC
rfam:Salmo salar isolate Sally breed double haploid chromosome ssa13, whole genome shotgun sequence.